rnacentral:snRNA from 8 species
AUACUUACCUGGCAAGAGAGACACCGUGAUCAAGAAGGCGGUUCACCCAGGACGAGGCUCAGCCAUUGCACUCCGGCUGUGCUGACCCCUGCGAAUUUCCCAAAUGUGGAAAUCUCGAUUGCAUAAUUUCUGGUAGUGGUGGACUGCAUUCGCGCUCUCCCCUG